GUUGGGAUAGGAGUGCAUAUUGCAUGUGGAGUUCUGUUUUGGAAGUGGAUAUUAACUUUCAGAAACCUUUGUUCAAAGAGGAAAUUACACCAGUAAGAUUGGCCAAGCAGGAGACACAUUCUGUGUCGAGUAAAAAACCAACCAGCAAAGUAAGAAUUUAACUUGUAAAUAAUCUCUCAGCCAUUAACAGCCUACACUUUGAAUCUCUUGUCUAAUAAGCUAUCUUGGGUGAGCAUCCUCAAGAGGAGGCUGUUGAAUAGAACUGCCCUAAUCCGGCACUGAGCUGUUGCAGUUCAAACUCCAACACAUCUCUCCACGCCGAGCCCCGAGGGGUUAUCAGCAUGGCUGAACCUCUGCUUCUUCCAGGGCACCCUUUCUCAGUCAUGCGCAGAGACAAAAUCAGAACUGGUCCCUGCCCAGCCCACUGCCUGGCAUACAGUAGGUGCUCCAUUACUAUUGGGUGGCCCAGCAGAAGUUCCAGGCUCCUGGCUUCACUCUGGCACAGUCAAGGUCAUGGUGGCCACUUGAAUGGAAGACCUCUCCCUUUGUUUCUUUGUCUUUUGAGAAAAUUAAAUUUUUUUCUCACUACAAAAAAUGAUAGAACUGACAUAUCAUUUAAUUUCACUUAAUCAUUCAACAGUGUAAACAUAUUUCAAAAUAUAGCAUUUACCCAUGAAUGUAU